UGAAUCGGUUCGAUCCAAGAGGUAUUGUUUCUCUUUUUAGUUGACAUGUUAUGAAUAUUUGUUUGUUUUCAAUUGCGAAAAACUACUGCUGCCUUACAUGCCUAAGUGCAGAUCAAGAACCGGCUCAAAACAUCCGGAGCCAAUUUCCAUCGAGUUUCCUAUGCACGGCGAUGAAACAAAUGUUCCUGUGAAGGUUAGGGGCAAGAGUAAGGAGUGCACUGAAAAGAUUCCUAUGGUGCCACAAGACAGCCCAGCAAUGUGCACAAGAAGCAAAAAAUUUAACUCUGCAAGCCUUUCAAUGAGCACAAGAAGCAAAAGGCGGCUCAGUUUGUGAUUCUCAUGUUUUCCUUAAUGUCAUGGUUACUUUUGGAUGUCCUUUUGUGCUGCUCAUGUGAUGUACUUGUGGACCUGACCUCAUAUGUGAAACAAUAUGUGAUGCAUGCCAACUAGUACUGAUGUAUGUGGUGAAUGUGAACCUAAAUGUGAUGUAUGUGUGAACAUGG
rnacentral:lncRNA from 1 species